rnacentral:tRNA from 1 species
GGUCGAGUCCGUAAACAGGCAAAGCGGCAAGCAUGAGAGGUUUUCGAAAUCGAUUUUGCAGGUUCGAUUCCUGUCUCGAGUA